rfam:Pseudocohnilembus persalinus scaffold2116, whole genome shotgun sequence.
GUCCUUGUAGUUCAGUGGUAAAAUUGUCGCUUUGGGUGCGAUAGCCCCGGAUUCGAUUUCCGGCAAGGGCC